AUUGAACGCUGGCGGCAGGCCUAACACAUGCAAGUCGAACGAGUGGCGGAGGGGUGAGUAAUAUCUGGGAAUGUGCCGGAUGGGGGGGGAACACCACUGGAAAGGGUCGCUUAUACCAUAUACUAUGGGAUGUGCCCAGAUGGGCAUAUAUAGUAGGUGGGGUAAAGGCUCACCUAGGCGACGAUCCCUAGCUGGUCUGAGAGGAGUACCAGCCCAACUGGGACUGGGACACGGCCCAGACUCCUACGGGAGGCAGCAGUGGGGAAGAUUGCACAAUGGGCGCAAGCCUGAUGCAGCCAUGCCGCGUGUAUGAAGAAGGCCUUCGGGUUGUAAAGUACUUUCAGCGGGGAGGCGUUACCCACAGAAGAAGCACCGGCUAACUCCGGGCCAGCAGCCGCGGUAAUAC
rnacentral:rRNA from 1 species